rnacentral:misc_RNA from 1 species
GAAAUGCGAUAAGUAAUGUGAAUUGCAGAAUUCAGUGAAUCAUCGAAUCUUUGAACGCACCUUGCGCUCCUUGGUAUUCCUUGGAGCAUGCCUGUUUGAGUAUCAUGAAAUCUUCAAAGUAAAUCUUUUGUUAACUCAAUUGGUUUCUACUUUGGUAUUGGAGGUCUUUGCAGCUUCACACCUGCUCCUCUUUGUUCAUUAGCUGGAUCUCAGUGUUAUGCUUGGUUCCACUCGGCGUGAUAAGUUAUCUAUCGCUGAGGACACUGUAAAAGGUGGCCAAGGUAAAUGCAGAUGAACCGCUUCUAAUAGUCCAUUGACUUGGACAAUACUUUUAUGAUCUGAUCUCAAAUCAGGUAGGUCUACCCGCUGAACUUAAGC